rnacentral:rRNA from 1 species
UACGGAAGAUCCGAGCGUUAUCCGGAAUCACUGGGCGUAAAGGGUGCGUAGGCGGGUCUUUAAGUCAGGGGUGAAAUCCUGGAGCUCAACUCCAGAACUGCCUUUGAUACUGAAGAUCUUGAGUUCGGGAGAGGUGAGUGGAACUGCGAGUGUAGAGGUGAAAUUCGUAGAUAUUCGCAAGAACACCAGUGGCGAAGGCGGCUCACUGGCCCGAUACUGACGCUGAUGCACGAAAGCGUGGGGAGCAAACAGG